rfam:Colius striatus contig89018, whole genome shotgun sequence.
AUUUCUUGAAUCUUUUUGGUUCUAUUGUGUAGUAUCUGUUCCUAUCAAUUUAAUAUCUGACAUGUCUUCGAUGAGAGGACUUUAUAUUAAACAGAUUUUGGGGCUCAGGAGUUGGACCUGGAGCUUGCUUCCUCCGCUCCACGCAUCGUCCCGGUACUGCAGUGCCUCUGAUUUUUUGGGGAAGCUGGA